rnacentral:rRNA from 1 species
CCUACGGGGUGCAGCAGUGGGGAAUAUUGGACAAUGGGCGAAAGCCUGAUCCAGCCAUGCCGCGUGUGUGAAGAAGGCCUUCGGGUUGUAAAGCACUUUCAGUGGGGAAGAAAGCCUUGGGGCUAAUACCCUCGAGGAAGGACAUCACCCACAGAAGAAGCACCGGCUAACUCCGUGCCAGCAGCCGCGGUAAUACGGAGGGUGCGAGCGUUAAUCGGAAUUACUGGGCGUAAAGCGCGCAUAGGCGGUCUGAUAAGCCGGUUGUGAAAGCCCCGGGCUCAACCUGGGAACGGCAUCCGGAACUGUCAGGCUAGAGUGCAGGAGAGGAAGGUAGAAUUCCCGGUGUAGCGGUGAAAUGCGUAGAGAUCGGGAGGAAUACCAGUGGCGAAGGCGGCCUUCUGGACUGACACUGACGCUGAGGUGCGAAAGCGUGGGUAGCAAACAGGAUUAGAUACCCCAGUAGUC